GGGAGAUCGCCAAUGCUUAUGGGCGAUACCUAUGUAGUGAAAUUCAACUAAAAACUAGGUACUAAUUGCAAAAAUAAGAGCCUCUCGUGGUCAAUGACUGAACUAGUCGUGUGUUUCAUCUCCAGUGUUUUUACUGAGAGAAAUAUGAGAAUGCAUAGCGAGAGAGGAAAUGUGUAAUCGUGUGACCCUGCUUCACUGUAUUGUAUCGAUAAAUACGAUAGAGAAGAAAUGUGCACACGGCACGAAGCAGUAUCAGAACAAAUAUAUAUCAAUUGUCUCCAUAAGUGACGCAUAUUUAGACCUUCAAGAUCUAUUAAUAAACACCACUGCGAAACUGGAUGGCCAGAAACAGUAGUUGCUUCUUCCAUAAGAACCAGCCCUUCUUCGCAAAUAUGUAGUACCUACAAUGACAAUAUUAAUUAUGAAUAAUGUGGAAACCUAUAAAAUAUAUAAAUAAUAUAAAUUGUUAUUUUUACAUGAUGUGUACUGUAUAAUGCUGCAUAUAAUGUUAUUAUACAAAUGAAACUUACCAGCAACAGUAAGU